UGGGCCCGCGGCCUAUCAGCUUGUUGGUGGGGUAAUGGCCUACCAAGGCGACGACGGGUAGCCGGCCUGAGAGGGUGACCGGCCACACUGGGACUGAGAUACGGCCCAGACUCCUACGGGAGGCAGCAGUGGGGAAUAUUGCACAAUGGGCGCAAGCCUGAUGCAGCGACGCCGCGUGAGGGAUGACGGCCUUCGGGUUGUAAACCUCUUUCAAUAGGGACGAAGCGCAAGUGACGGUACCUAUAGAAGAAGGACCGGCCAACUACGUGCCAGCAGCCGCGGUAAUACGUAGGGUCCGAGCGUUGUCCGGAAUUACUGGGCGUAAAGAGCUCGUAGGUGGUUUGUCGCGUUGUUCGUGAAAACUCACAGCUUAACUGUGGGCGUGCGGGCGAUACGGGCAGACUAGAGUACUGCAGGGGAGACUGGACUUCCUGGUGUAGCGGUGG
rnacentral:rRNA from 1 species